rnacentral:rRNA from 1 species
CCUACGGGUGGCAGCAGUGGGGGAUAUUGGACAAUGGGGGGAACCCUGAUCCAGCGACGCCGCGUGAGUGAAGAAGUAUUUCGGUAUGUAAAGCUCUAUCAGCAGGGAAGAAAGAAAUGACGGUACCUGACUAAGAAGCCCCGGCUAACUACGUGCCAGCAGCCGCGGUAAUACGUAGGGGGCAAGCGUUAUCCGGAUUUACUGGGUGUAAAGGGAGCGUAGACGGCGAUGCAAGUCUGAAGUGAAAGGCGGGGGCCCAACCCCCGGACUGCUUUGGAAACUGUAUGGCUGGAGUGCAGGAGAGGUAAGUGGAAUUCCUAGUGUAGCGGUGAAAUGCGUAGAUAUUAGAAGGAACACCAAUAGCGUAGGCAGGUUGCUGGGACGGUUCUGACACUAAGGCACGAAAGCGUAGGGAGCAAACGGGAUUAGAUACCCUUGUAGUC